ensembl:lncRNA
CGACUAUCUUAAAGGCUUGGAACUCACUUGCGCAUUUUGUUGGUUGAAGUUUCGGAGUAGUCUGUUCUUUAGAGUGAAAUAAAAAAGGUGUUAUCAUGGGACUGUUUUCACGAUUAAAGAAAGCCUGUAAAGUGGAGCGUGUACCUGAACCCCAACCCUGUGUGCUGCUCAAACACACGACCAUCACGGCAGAAAACCACAUGCAUCCUCAUCCUCUUGAUGAGAUUUCUGGUGGUGCUCAUGAGAUAGUUGAUAGGAAAAAUGAGGCAGGGAGACGAGAGAGAAAGAAUAAGAGGUUUUGGAGAUCUUUUCUUAUUUUUUUUUCGCCGAAGAACUGGAAAAUACGACCUGGCUAAGUCUGAGAAAGUGUACCAAAGUGAGGCGGGAUCGUAUAAGAGACUUACCGAUGAUCAGACUUCUCUACAACACAUCCCUAUUGUAGAGAUCCAUGAUCAUCAAGGAGCUCCAGCUUCUGAGGUUCUCCCCGCUCUAGAGAAACACCUGGAGCAGGACCUCCCUCAACCUCAGGACGUCCACACUCCAGUUAGUUUGACUGAAGAGGACAAAUUGGAAGAGCUGGUCUUGGAUCAGCCAUCUCUACAGCACAUUGUAGUGAUCUAUGAUCUUCAUGAAGCUCCAGUCUCUGAAGUCCUCAUCAUUGCUGAGGAACAGCUAGAGCAGGACGUCCUCCAACCUCGGGACGUCGAUGCUCCAGUAAGUUCUGCUGAAGAUGACAAAGCAGAACUGGACAAGGACCAGACUUCUCUACAGCAAAUUGUAGAGAUUCAUAAUCAUGGAGAAGCUCCAGUCUCUGAAGUCCUCCCCGCUGCUGAGGAACAGCUGGAGCAGAACGUCCUCCAACCUCAGGACGUCCACAAUCCAGUAAGCUCCACUGAUGAUGAUGAAGCGGAGGAGCCGGACAACAACCACAUUUUCUGGCAAUAUGAAUUUGGCCCCAAGCUGGGUGAAGGAAGCUACAGCUAUGUACAUGCAGGGACUCGCUGCAAGGAUGGCCUUAAGGUGGUUGUGAAAAUUGCUGAAAAGACUCUGAAUAUGCCAUAUAUAAGAGUUCCUGGUCAUCCCAAACGCCUCCCAUGGAGAUCGGCCUGACACUCAUGGCUAAUAAGGGCCCCAGUGUUCCACAGAUAAUUAAGCUGCUGGACUGGCAGGAGACCACUAUGUCAUGGUCUUGGAGUGGCCCAUGCCAAGCAUGAGCAUGUUUAGUUUUGUGAAGCUCCGACGAAGGCUCAAUGAAGGGAUGGCACGAAAUGUUAUGUGGCAGGUCAUUCAUGCCGCUAACAUUUGCUGCGAGCAUGGAGUCUUCCAUCGAGAUAUAAAGCUGGAGAACCUCCUAGUGAACCCCGACACAUUGGAGGUCAAGUUGAUCAACUUCAGAUGCAGGACGCUCAUGAAGGACUCUGCCUACGUGGCCUUCAGUGGCACAGAAAUGUUCUGUCCUCCGGAGUUUGAUGUCGACGGCAGGUACCAUGCAAAGCCGGCGACAGUGUGGUCAUUAGGGAUCCUGCUGUUUGUGAUGGUGUGCGGGUAUUUUCCAGAUGACAAAGACCUGCACAUGAUCAGUAAGAAUGACUGGUCCAACCCUGACCUGUCACAAGAAUGCUGCCAGAUGAUUUGCUCUUGCCUGCAGCCUGAUCCACAGCGGAGACUUAUUCUGGAGGAGAUGCAGCUCCAUGACUGGUUUAUGGUUGUGUAAGACAUGAAAAACAACAAAAACGACUCCCUGUCACAUCCACUCUGUUAUUUUCUGUCUUCAGUCAGCUUUGUGUCUGGCAUUUGUAUUAAUAUAUUUAUAGGAAAAGGCUAUGUG